UGGACUAGUUGGGCUUGCUGGACUGGCACUGUCAAUUCAGUGAGUAGAGCAUGAAGUCCAAAAGUACAGGCUUCCCUGAUCCUCAGCUUGCCUCCAAGAAUGACAGCUGACAUAGAUUAUUUCUCAGAGCACCAGAAACUGAAGCAAAACAUUUAGAGUGGAUAUCACUACUUUUGAUCUGCUGAAAUGGGGCUCUGAGCCACCACUUAUGAUAACCUACUACCCUGAGAGCAACAUGGUGAAGAGGUUACCAGUCCCAGCUUAGCCUCGUCUCUUCUAGUCAUCUCUGCCACAUCAUGUAAAAAAAAAAAAAUCUCAGAUCCUCUAGACUGGUACGUCAGCAAAAGACUAAUCUGCCCACCACCUUUUAUUACAAUAAAGUUUUGUCACAAUGUCA